rnacentral:lncRNA from 1 species
GCACUUGCAGCUGGAAAGUCCCUUUAUGAGCAAGAAUCUUGCUCAUAAAGCACAUUUCCUCCUGCUAGCUACAUAACAAAGGCAGUGGUGGUGUGGUCCCACAGGCAAUGUUCCUCUUCUGAGACCCCUCCUAUCUAUCUGCCUAACCAGCCUCUACCUGCCUCCUCUCUCAUUCCAGUGGUGACCCUAAUUGCCAUUAGAGGGAGAGGGUAGAUGACCGCUCAGGCUUCUUCAAGCUGUGAGAGGGCAUUGUUACUGUGGCAGUAAGGGAUCCUCCAGAGGAUGGUCUAAUGGGCCUGAGAGGAAGGGUUCUUUCACACAGGGUUCCAUCUGCAUCAUGAUCUGGAGUUUGAUGGCCUCUAUGCAAGAAGAAACAAAUUUGGCUAAAAGAUGUAACACACAUGGUCCAAAAACCAGGAUAUUUCAUGAAGAAUAUACAGCAGAUAAUUCAUUCUGUUAAGGAGAUUAGCAGAUAUAUCCACUUCCUAAGGUAGCUGUGUAAGAGCAUCAUCCAGUGUUCAGAUCGUGCAGACUCCUGAAGUGCUGAUAUCCUAUGCUAAACGAGACCUCUGCAGGUAAUUUGGACAUUGUUUCUGUCUUCAUUGCCCUACACCGGAUCAUCUGCUCUCUUUUGUAUAUUCUGUGAGUUGCCCAAUAGUUUUUAAAAAUUAAAAUAAUUGAAGUAUAUAGUGUUGCUCAUAAAUAAGAAUUCUGAUUGAUAUAGCUGGUACAUAACUAUCCUGAGCCUCUCUUUUAUAGACUUGAGAAUACGACACGGAGACAGAAGAAAAACAGAAUCAGAAGCAAAGCUGGAUAAUGAAUGGAAAUAGAAGUGGACAGAAGUGGAGAAAGAUGAGAUAGAUCACCAGAGAAAAGAGCAGAGGAUACAGACUUCUGAGGUAUAACCAAGACAACCAGAUCACAUGAGCUUCUGUAACUUUCCACAACUGCUUUUGUUGUAUCUUCUUAUCCAAGGAUUCAUCUACUGUUUCAUUACUUUAUUGGAACUUUGUGUUCCCCCCAAAUGAAUGUGUUUGCUUCCUCAGAUUCAAGCAUAUCGCCUUACGAUGUUCCCCCUUACCAGAGUAUAAGCUGUUACUAAGUUUUAUAAGAGCAGAGACCAAGGCUGUAUCUGUUUUAUUCUGCACCAUGUAUUCAGUUUGGCACAGAACCUGGCUCAUAGUUGGCUGAAAUACAUGACAAUGAAUGAAGGAGUGAAAUUAAAAUAACAGACAUAGUAAAUUACAUUUACACAAAGAAAUAUUUUGAUAAAUUAUCAGUCCAAUCUCAUUUUGACUCCAUGCAGACACACACACACACACACACACACACACACACACACACCUAUUUUUCCCUUUAUUUUAAAAAAUUCUAAAUGAGAGAAGUGAUUCUGAUAGUCGACUAGGGAACAAAAGACACAUUUACUUAUUCAGAUUCGUGAACUUCUCUGAGUAAGAAGAUGAUAUUUUUCCUUUUUCUCUCUAAAAAUAAAUGUCUUUCUAAAAAAUACAAACAUUAUCAUGAUAACCAAUACCACCUGGUAUUAUUUAUUAUUCCAGUUUUCUGUCUCCCGCUGCAUUAGAUCUCUGUUCUGAUGCAAUAUUUUUGAAUAUCUUCCUAUAGAGCUUUCCGUAUGCUACCUUCAAUAAACAUCUUCUUUCCGCAGGAGGUUUUCUUUGGUUAAUAACACUCUGUAAGUACUUAAUGUGACAUUAUGAUUUGUUGCAAGGGUAGGCUGAACAGUGCUUGACCUCAUAUAGUUCUAUAGAUCACUAUUGAUUUAAAGUGGCAGACCAAAUUCUCCACAUUAGCCUGCACCACAUUUUUAAUACAUCAAUAAAACAGAAUUACUCCAAAGGAAACAAUUUUGUUAGUGCUCUAAAGCAGUAAACAGAAUACAAAUCUCAGGGUACUUUCAAAAGUUAUUGAUAAAUAUAUCUAAGAAACAAAUUGUGUAUCAGAGAAAAUCACUGUCUCACACAAUAUUUUGUAGGGAAAACAUAAAGCAUUGACUCUCCUAUCAGGGAACUAUUUUAAAAAGUUGAAUAUGUCCAAAAUUACUAGAAAUAACAGUUUGUUUUUAGUUAAAAAUAUACUUAUUUUUAGUCCCCCUUUAAACAAAAGUGGAUGCCCUUUGCGGCGUAUUGCAGUUUAUUUAAACCCAAUUAAACCAAAAACAUCUCUGCAUUACUUCAAAUGAGGAAAUUACCAAGAUAGGUGCCCAACACAUUGCUGGAUUUUCUAAAUCAUGGUUCACUUUUAAAUUAAAUUCUCAGAAUAAGAGUUCAAAAUGGCAAUUGCGAACAUUUCCUUUCCAAAUUUCUAAUAAUAUUCCUUCUUCUGCCUAAUACACUUCUUUCAAUCUUAAUCCUUGUAAUCCAUCUAUGCAACAAAUUUAAGUGAAUAACACAUUUUAACUACAGAAUAA